rnacentral:lncRNA from 1 species
UUGAGGUGCUAGCAUUUUGCUAAGAUUUUAACUCCCUUUCUCUAACUAGCAGUUUGGAAUGGUAAUCUCUCUGUUAUGGGGGUUGCGCUUCCUCAUCAGUAUUAGGAAGACAGCCUUGUUCUGGGCAGCCUCCAACUCAGAGAUCCGGAAACAAACGCUCAGCUCCUCCAACAAUGGCCCGGAGAGUUUGGCUCCAGAACAGAAGUCGACGGCUUGGGUUCCCAUCCGGACAGGCAUGGAGGCGGCUCUUGCGCAGGCGCGGUGGCUUUGUUAGCGAUAGAGUCUUGGUCGGCAUGAGCCACAAACCCGGGAGCCCGACGGUCCGAGGCCGCCCUCCACGCGCCCCCUCCCAGACGUGGCGGUCGAGUCUGGGCCUUCCCUUGACCCCUGGACUGACACUUCAGAAAGAAAGGAUGAGUCCAUGUUGUCUCCAACAUAUUACUUGGAAUCUUAAGCUGUACACCUGGGGAAAAUGUCAUCUGACUUGUGCAGCAGCCUUUACACAUACCACUUAUACAACUACCUUGUCCUGUCAAGCCCUGGAAGGGGCACAGACUAAGCCUUUAAUAGGUGAAGAUGUGCUCUGCAAGUGCUAGAUUUCUAAUGUACCUCACUUGCUCACCUGGCCCUAGGUUUGAAUGGUGCAGAAGUGCAGUUCCAUGCAGCCAGGGCAGCUGGCUGUGUCAUAUAGCCCUGUGGCCCUUGUGGAACCUGAACCUAAAAUUAGAGUGUUUUGUAGAGAGGAGCCUGCUUGUACAUCCAGCUUUGCUGUAAUGCUUGCUUUUAUCAAAAUUCUCAAUUACAAGCAAGAAAGACUCAGCCCCUGGUGGGUGGUUGUAGCAGUUUGAUAUGGUUAUGAAUUCCAAAAAUAGAUAUUGGAUUAUGUUUGUAAUCUUGUCUAUACCUGGGCAUGAUUAAGUUAUGAUUAGGGCUUCAAUUGGGCCACGUCAUUAGGGCUUUGAGUCCCAUCCCCCUUGAUGGGUGGGGACUCACAGAUAAAAGGCAUGGCAAAGGACAGAGCUGAGGGGUUUUGAUGUUGGAGUUUCAGUGUUUGAGUUUGAUGCUGAAGACUUAAGUGGGAGCCCUGGAAAGUAAACUCACAGAGGAAAGAGAAGCCAGCCACAGGAAGAGAGGAACCUUGAGCCCGGGAAGAAGCAAGCCCUGGGAAGAGAGGAUCCCUGAACCCAAAGAGAAGCCAGACCCUGGAAGGGAGAAAUCCAGGAAGCCUGAGCCCUGGCAGAUGUCGGCAGCCAUCUUGUUCCAAUACAUGAAAAUAGACUUUGGUGAGGGAAGUAACUUAUGCUUUAUGGCCUGGUAUCUGUAAGCUCCUACCCCAAAUAAAUACACUUUAUAAAAACCAACAA